ACCAACAAACACCAACAAAGACACACUCAGCCAGCCUCACCCCAACACCGCACCUCAUCCAGGUAUAUAUAUCUAUAUAUAUUCGCAUCAAGGGAGGAUGUCUCCUGGCAGCUCUCUCUAUCCACAAUGGUUCUCCUCCUCAUGACCCCGGCCAUAGCGGCCGCCCUCGACAGCUUGCCCGCCUCAAUCCGUGACGAGCUCUCCCUGCCAACUGCUCCUGCGAGCGCCGCGAUAUCACACACACAGCUCACUGCCCUCUCCAGAUACCUUGUGUCCAACCCUCCAUUCACAGAGAAACCCACAGAUCCAUCUAAUGGAGCUGUUAAUCGAUGUGAGCGCUUCUCGCUCAACUCGCUUCUCAAGGGCACCAGGGUCUAUUUCCCCCCCCCUCCACCAAAACCGGAACCUACGCCCGAAUACCUCGCCCUAAAAGCUUCCCUCGUCGCCGCCGAGGAAGCAAGAAGGUACAAUGCUCUCCUAAACGCUGCCUCCUCAAGCCCUCCAUCUCGGAUUUGGGGUCUCAACGACCCUCCAGCGACAAACAUAUAUUCACAUCCCAAACAACACCACCACAACAACAACGACAACAAUAACAUAAACAUAAACACCAUCAACGAUCUUGACGCCGACGACCCCCUAACCCCAUCCGUGGUUCUCAACAUUCUCGUCUCGAUCCUCUUCACGGGUUUCGCAACGUACUGGGCCCUCUCCAACUUCCGCAUCCCGACCUUCUUCACAUUCACAUCCUCAGCGGCGCCGUCACAUCCCGGCGCCGUCUCUUCACAGCCUGCACGGGUGUUUAUUUCGAUGCUCGUCGCACUGCUGGUGGGCGUGGCGGAGGUGGGUAUUUUUGCGCUGUAUUUGAGGAAAGUGGAGUUGGCGAGGGGAAGGGAAAGUGCGAUUGUUGAGAGGAAGGUCGUGAUUGGGGAGGUUAAGAUUGGCGGAGGUGACGGAAGGCAUGGUGGUGAUGAUGGGUCUGCGGUUAGCAUUGACGAUACGAAGGGGGCG
rnacentral:sRNA from 2 species